GAUGAACGCUGGCGGCGUGCCUAACACAUGCAAGUCGAACGGAGUCGUUUUGGAAAUCUCUUCGGAGAUGGAAUUCUCGACUUAGUGGCGGACGGGUGAGUAACGCGUGAGCAAUCUGCCUUUAAGAGGGGGAUAACAGUCGGAAACGGCUGCUAAUACCGCAUAAAGCAUUAAAUUCGCAUGUUUUUGAUGCCAAAGGAGCAAUCCGCUUUUAGAUGAGCUCGCGUCUGAUUAGCUAGUUGGCGGGGUAACGGCCCACCAAGGCGACGAUCAGUAGCCGGACUGAGAGGUGGAACGGCCACAUUGGGACUGAGACACGGCACAGACUACUACGGGAGGCAGCAGUGGGGAAUAUUGCGCAAUGGGGGAAACCCUGACGCAGCAACGCCGCGUGAUUGAAGAAGGCCUUCGGGUUGUAAAGAUCUUUAAUCAGGGACGAAACAAAUGACGGUACCUGAAGAAUAAGCUCCGGCUAACUACGUG
rnacentral:rRNA from 1 species